UUAGGUUAGUAUCUGGGGGUCACAUCUGAAGGGCUUUGCUGUGGUUAAACCCCUCCGUAUCUACUCUACACCUAAGUAAGCCUUACUAGCACAGAGGAGUAUAUGGAAAAUAACUGCUGAUUAGUCUUUUUGACCCCCAGCUGCUAACCUAACUGGUAUGGGGAGCAGGGAAGACAAAUAUUAUAAAGUAAUGUUAGAGAGUCCCCAGUAACUUGUGCAAUAGACCUUAUGUUUUAUCACAGCAUUGCCCUGAACAAUAAAUGAAAUCAUGUAUGAAAGGCAUUUAAUUUGGUACCUGGCACAUAAGUGCCCAAUGUAAAACUGCCGUGUAUGGCAGCGCACUGCCCAAUUCUAGGGGACAGUAUUCACAUCUCAAACACCCACUGUUAUCCUAUGCUGCUGGCUCAAUAAAUAGUAAUUAUCAUUAUUUUUGUUACUUAUAUAGUCUUUCUGAGAAACCUUAUAACACACAGAGUAUGAUGGUUUACUAGGUGGUAAGAAGAAAACACAAAAAUAUAAAGUAAAUGGUUCAUAACAGUUGGUGUUAGCCUAAUUUUUAAUUUGUUUUGUUAUAUUUAUUAUUUUUGAGGCAGGGUCUCACUCUGUCGUCCAGGCUGGAG
rnacentral:lncRNA from 1 species